GACGAACGCUGGCGGCGUGCUUAACACAUGCAAGUCGAACGCUCCUGUCCUCUGGGUUUCUGGGGGGUGGGUGAGUGGCGAACGGGUGAGUAACACGUGAGUAACCUGCCCCCUUCUUCGGGAUAACGGUCUGAAAGGGCUGCUAAUACCGGGUAUUCACUGGUCUCCGCAUGUGGUCUGGUGGAAAGGUUUUUUUCUGGUGGGGGAUGGGCUCGCUGCCUAUCAGCUUGUUGGUGGGGUGAUGGCCAACCAAGGCUUUGACGGGUAGCCGGCCUGAGAGGGUGACCGGGCACAUUGGGACUGAGAUACGGAACAGACUACCACGGGAGGCAGCAGUGGGGAAUAUUGCAAAAUGGGCGCAAGCCUGAUGCAGCGACGCCGCGGGAGGGAUGGAGGCCUUCGGGUUGUGAACCUCUUUCGCCCGUGGUAAAGCAGCGACGUGGGUCGUGGUGAGGGUAGUGGGUAAAGAAGCGCCGGCUAACUACGUG
rnacentral:rRNA from 1 species